ACCUAUAGACCAGCUGAAGAGAUUCUCCAGCAGAAGAGAUUAUAAAGAAGAAGAGAUGCAAAUUGGAUGACAGUGUGUCCAAGUUUUAAAGGGAAAUUGAAAUAUCUUUGAAAUAUUUGGAAAUAUAUUUUGAAAUAUCUUGGAAAUUGAAAUAUCAGGAUAUGGUGAGCAAAGAUACUUGUAAACCAGCUGAAGAGAUUCUCAAGGAGAAGAGAUGCAAGUGGGAUGACAGUCUGUCCAUGUUUUAAAAGGAAAUUGGUAAAUCUUUGCUGUAGCAUCAGGAUAUAAUGAGCAAAGCAUCCUUGGGAAGAUGUCAGCGGUCCUCUCCUCGCAAUGUGAACACAAAGAGUUUACAGAGGCCUUCAGGAUGUGGAAACAAGAGACAUGAAACCUACUUGGAAGCAUAUAGAAUGAACUGUACUGUGCUUAUACAUUAAAGACGUCCUGCGUGCAGAGUCCUCCU